CCUAUUAUAUAAUAUCCAGCAGAUUACUGUGCAACGCGACACAGAUUAUCGUAACCGUACCAUAUAUUUACUUGUGCUACCAACCUUCGAUCUCGAAACCCUAACAUUCACACUUCGGUGGCCUCUGCGUUUCCUCCUCAACAGAUCGAAUUCGAGGGAAAAUGAGUAGCCGUGCUAGCAGAACAGUCUAUGUCGGAAAUCUUCCGGGUGAUAUUCGUGAAAAAGAAGUGGAAGAUUUGUUCUACAAGUAUGGUCGCAUAGCCCACAUUGAUCUCAAGGUUCCACCUAGACCACCUGGUUAUGCAUUUGUUGAGUUUGAAGAUGCCGAAGAUGCUCAAGAUGCGAUUCGUGGUCGCGAUGGCUAUGAUUUUGAUGGCCAUAGAUUGCGCGUGGAACUUGCUCAUGGUGGUCGUGGUCAUUCAUCAUCUAGUGAUCGCUACAGUAGUCAUGGAGGCAGCCGAGGUGGGCGUGGAGUAUCUCGACGCUCUGAUUAUCGUGUAUUAGUCACAGGAUUACCUUCUUCUGCUUCAUGGCAAGACUUAAAGGAUCACAUGAGGCGAGCUGGGGACGUUUGUUUCUCCCAAGUGUUUCGUGAUGGUAGUGGGACCACAGGGAUUGUAGAUUACACCAACUACGAUGACAUGAAGUAUGCUAUUAAGAAACUUGAUGACUCUGAGUUCCGGAAUGCAUUUUCCCGGGCAUAUGUUCGUGUGAGAGAAUAUGAUUCAAAGAGGGAUCUCUCCAGGAGUCCCAGUCGUGGGCGGUCAUACUCUAGAGGGAGGAGUUAUAGUCGCAGCCGUAGUAGAGGCCGUAGUAGGAGCAAGAGCCACAGCAGGAGCAAGUCUCCAAAAGCUAAAUCUUCCCAGCGGUCCCCUGUUAAAUCUCGAUCAAGGUCUGCUUCCCCUGCACGCUCACGAUCAAAGUCAUCAUCUCUCUCAGGGGUCUGUUUGUUGCACCCGUCUUUCAUUGGCCAGAAUGUUAGACUGGGUGAAAUAAACAACAUUAAAGUACUGAAAGUGAACUAAUUCUUUUGUAUUGCUCAAGCACGGGUCAGCAACUGGUUUAAAAUUUAUCAAUGGAUUUGAUAUUACCUUUCUGGAUGCUAUGUGUUUGCAUGCGGUAUUGUGGCUUGUACAAUUCUCUUGAAUGUGAAACCCACUUUCUUCCAAAGUCUUGGAUGCACUCUUGGAAUGGUGGAGAUGAAUACUGGACAGACUUCAAAUUAGUCUGGCAAUGUGUGGGACCCUCUAUUGGAAUGUUGGGUAAACUUUAUCCUAUUUGACUCAAGUUAUUACUAUUUUACAUCUGAUUCUAUUUUCUUUUUAAUAACACUUCGUCCUGGCCUUCCCCUUUAUCAAUUGUGAAUAUUUUUGUUCAACAACUGGGAUAGCUAAGAAAUGAAUCGAUUUCUUUCAUUCAUUGUCCUUUUUGUGUGUGAAAAUUACUUGUUUGUUUUUUAGAUAUGGAAAUAUGCAGCAUACUGGGGAUUGGAUAUUAGGAUCUUGAUGGGAUAUGAUUCAAUUGCCUUCAAUGCUUUUGGUUGAGAAGGUAUGCUGUUUUUUAGAUGGGCAGCUUUCAAAACCUUCUGGUACCUCUGUUCUAAUGCUUUUAGCAAUGCAAUGUCCAUGGGUGCUAGAUUGGGAUCAAAGGAGAUCAUGGAUUGCCAUAAUAGAGCUGGAUAUCUUGAACUAAGUGCUAUUUGGACUUGGAAGUCAUCAUCACUUUCAUUUACAUUUUCUGCUGCAAGAUUUGCCAAGCUAUAGGACGCACUAUCUGGAUUCAUUGUGGACUUUUUGAGGCACAGUAGGGAAGAAUGCUCCUCUCCCGUCCACUGGUGUCUAUAAUAUAUAGUUUCCUGGAGAUUAAAGUUUUCUAAUUUUAGGUCUUGGCUUUUGGAGUCUUAAGUUUUGAAUUGGCAUAUACUCUUCAUAGUUGAACUGCUAAAAUAUUAUUUUCCCUUCUCUACUUAUACACUCUGGAUGAGGCGUCAGGCUUUUGGAUCAAAUUUGGUUAAAGAGACGUGGAUUUUAAAUUUGAGUUGUUUCUGGACCUUUUGCAGAUCGCGAUCAAGAUCCAGGUCUCCAGUGCCCAAUCGUGAGAAACGGACUAGUAAAAGUCC